UGUUUCGACACACUAUCAUUAACUGAAUCCAUAGGUUAAUGAGGCGAACCGGGGGAACUGAAACAUCUAAGUACCCCGAGGAAAAGAAAUCAACCGAGAUUCCCCCAGUAGCGGCGAGCGAACGGGGAGGAGCCCAGAGCCUGAAUCAGUGUGUGUGUUAGUGGAAGCGUCUGGAAAGGCGCGCGAUACAGGGUGACAGCCCCGUACACAAAAAUGCACAUAUUGUGAGCUCGAUGAGUAGGGCGGGACACGUGGUAUCCUGUCUGAAUAUGGGGGGACCAUCCUCCAAGGCUAAAUACUCCUGACUGACCGAUAGUGAACCAGUACCGUGAGGGAAAGGCGAAAAGAACCCCGGCGAGGGGAGUGAAAAAGAACCUGAAACCGUGUACGUACAAGCAGUGGGAGCCUCUUAAUGGGGUGACUGCGUACCUUUUGUAUAAUGGGUCAGCGACUUAUAUUCUGUAGCAAGGUUAACCGAAUAGGGGAGCCGAAGGGAAACCGAGUCUUAACUGGGCGUUAAGUUGCAGGGUAUAGACCCGAAACCCGGUGAUCUAGCCAUGGGCAGGUUGAAGGUUGGGUAACACUAACUGGAGGACCGAACCGACUAAUGUUGAAAAAUUAGCGGAUGACUUGUGGCUGGGGGUGAAAGGCCAAUCAAACCGGGAGAUAGCUGGUUCUCCCCGAAAGCUAUUUAGGUAGCGCCUCGUGAAUUCAUCUCCGGGGGUAGAGCACUGUUUCGGCAAGGGGGUCAUCCCGACUUACCAACCCGAUGCAAACUGCGAAUACCGGAGAAUGUUAUCACGGGAGACACACGGCGGGUGCUAACGUCCGUCGUGAAGAGGGAAACAACCCAGACCGCCAGCUAAGGUCCCAAAGUCAUGGUUAAGUGGGAAACGAUGUGGGAAGGCCCAGACAGCCAGGAUGUUGGCUUAGAAGCAGCCAUCAUUUAAAGAAAGCGUAAUAGCUCACUGGUCGAGUCGGCCUGCGCGGAAGAUGUAACGGGGCUAAACCAUGCACCGAAGCUGCGGCAGCGACACUAUGUGUUGUUGGGUAGGGGAGCGUUCUGUAAGCCUGUGAAGGUGGCCUGUGAGGGUUGCUGGAGGUAUCAGAAGUGCGAAUGCUGACAUAAGUAACGAUAAAGCGGGUGAAAAGCCCGCUCGCCGGAAGACCAAGGGUUCCUGUCCAACGUUAAUCGGGGCAGGGUGAGUCGACCCCUAAGGCGAGGCCGAAAGGCGUAGUCGAUGGGAAACAGGUUAAUAUUCCUGUACUUGGUGUUACUGCGAAGGGGGGACGGAGAAGGCUAUGUUGGCCGGGCGACGGUUGUCCCGGUUUAAGCGUGUAGGCUGGUUUUCCAGGCAAAUCCGGAAAAUCAAGGCUGAGGCGUGAUGACGAGGCACUACGGUGCUGAAGCGACAAAUGCCCUGCUUCCAGGAAAAGCCUCUAAGCAUCAGGUAACAUCAAAUCGUACCCCAAACCGACACAGGUGGUCAGGUAGAGAAUACCAAGGCGCUUGAGAGAACUCGGGUGAAGGAACUAGGCAAAAUGGUGCCGUAACUUCGGGAGAAGGCACGCUGAUAUGUAGGUGAAGCGACUUGCUCGUGGAGCUGAAAUCAGUCGAAGAUACCAGCUGGCUGCAACUGUUUAUUAAAAACACAGCACUGUGCAAACACGAAAGUGGACGUAUACGGUGUGACGCCUGCCCGGUGCCGGAAGGUUAAUUGAUGGGGUUAGCGGUAACGCGAAGCUCUUGAUCGAAGCCCCGGUAAACGGCGGCCGUAACUAUAACGGUCCUAAGGUAGCGAAAUUCCUUGUCGGGUAAGUUCCGACCUGCACGAAUGGCGUAAUGAUGGCCAGGCUGUCUCCACCCGAGACUCAGUGAAAUUGAACUCGCUGUGAAGAUGCAGUGUACCCGCGGCAAGACGGAAAGACCCCGUGAACCUUUACUAUAGCUUGACACUGAACAUUGAGCCUUGAUGUGUAGGAUAGGUGGGAGGCUUUGAAGUGUGGACGCCAGUCUGCAUGGAGCCGACCUUGAAAUACCACCCUUUAAUGUUUGAUGUUCUAACGUGGGCCCCUUACCGGGGUUGCGGACAGUGUCUGGUGGGUAGUUUGACUGGGGCGGUCUCCUCCUAAAGAGUAACGGAGGAGCACGAAGGUUGGCUAAUCCUGGUCGGACAUCAGGAGGUUAGUGCAAUGGCAUAAGCCAGCUUGACUGCGAGCGUGACGGCGCGAGCAGGUGCGAAAGCAGGUCAUAGUGAUCCGGUGGUUCUGAAUGGAAGGGCCAUCGCUCAACGGAUAAAAGGUACUCCGGGGAUAACAGGCUGAUACCGCCCAAGAGUUCAUAUCGACGGCGGUGUUUGGCACCUCGAUGUCGGCUCAUCACAUCCUGGGGCUGAAGUAGGUCCCAAGGGUAUGGCUGUUCGCCAUUUAAAGUGGUACGCGAGCUGGGUUUAGAACGUCGUGAGACAGUUCGGUCCCUAUCUGCCGUGGGCGCUGGAGAACUGAGGGGGGCUGCUCCUAGUACGAGAGGACCGGAGUGGACGCAUCACUGGUGUUCGGGUUGUCAUGCCAAUGGCACUGCCCGGUAGCUAAAUGCGGAAGAGAUAAGUGCUGAAAGCAUCUAAGCACGAAACUUGCCCCGAGAUGAGUUCUCCCUGACUCCUUGAGAGUCCUGAAGGAACGUUGAAGACGACGACGUUGAUAGGCCGGGUGUGUAAGCGCAGCGAUGCGUUGAGCUAACCGGUACUAAUGAACCGUGAGGCUUAACCUUACAACGCCGAAG
rnacentral:rRNA from 1 species